UUAGUUAUGCGGGGUAGAGCGAAUGAUUAGAGGCCUCGGGGAAAGUUUACACUCGACCUGUUCUCAAACUAUCAACCUGCAUAAAAGUUUUGAUUUCUUAAUUGAAUCAUUCCUUUAAAUAAAUGUGACUCAAGUGGGCCAUUUUUGGUAAGCAGAACUGGCGAUGCGGGAUGAACCGAAAGCUGAGCUAAGGUGCCAAAGAGUACGUCAACAGACACCACAAAAGGAGUCGGUCGAUAAAGACAGCAGGACGGUGGCCCUGAAAGUAGGAAUCCGCUAAGGAGUGUCUAACAACUCACCUGCCGAAUCGACCGGUCCUGAAAAUGGAUGGCGCUAAAGCGUACCACCGAUGCUCGGCCGUUAUAGCAGAAACAAUGUUGCCUAUAACGGGUAGGAGGGCGCGACGGUAGCAAUAAAGUGUAGAGCGCGAGCCUACAUGGAGCUGCCGUUGGUGUAGAUCUUGGUGAUAGUAGCAACAACAUAAAAGCGAGCAUCUUUUAGGCCGAAGUGGAGAAGGGUUCCGUGUCAACAGCAAAUGGACACGGGUUAGUCGGCCCUAAGCUGUUGCUUAACUGCUAUAAAAAGGCGGGCUUUGGUACUUAUCAAACGGUAUCGGUCCGAAUGCAGCGAAAGGGAAUCCGGUUAAUAUUCCGGAACCAGGUGUCGGAAACACAGGCUUACACCACUAUACAUACUUGAUGUUUAAUCGCAUUGAGCCAUGUAUAGUGUGCUGUUUGUUUGUAAAGCGGCAACGCAAGCGAUCUCAGAGACGUUGAUAUCUGUGGCGGGAAGAGUUUUCUUUUCUGUAUAACGAGUAAUUUAUAUCAACCCCGGAAUAGAGUCAUUCUGAGAAGGGGUCAUAAACUCGGAAGAGCAUUGCAUUGUGAGCAAUGUCCGCAGCACAGGUACCGGCCCUUGAAAUCUGAGGGAGUGAUUAAUUUCGCACUGACCCGUACCGAAUCCGCAUCUGGUCCUCGAGGUGAGCAGCCUCUUGGCACUGGAGAUUGAAGUAGGUAGGGAGUCGGCAAAAUAGAUCCGUAACUUUGGGAUAAGGAUUGGCUCUAAGGGCCGGGCUUAUCGAGCUAGCAAUACUAAAGCCACUGGAGCCACGAGUGUCAUGUUCAUCUUUUGUUGUACUAUUUCCUUAAAAAAUUUAGUAUGACCAAAGCUCUGGACUGACGCGGGUGGUAAUGGUACUUUGGUUUGCCUGCGUGGUCAAUUGCAUAGAAUCUAAUCAUUUUACUGUAAUUGGUCUUUACGAGAGGCGAGAAUCGGCCAACUUAGAACUGUUACUAACUAGGGGAAUCCGACUGUUUAAUUAAAACAAAGCAUUUAGAUGGCCGGAAACGGUGUUGACUAAAUGUGAUUUCUGCCCAGUGCUCUGAAUGUUAAAGUGCUGAAAAGCAACCAAGCACGGGUAAACGGCGGGUGUAACUAUGACUCUCUUAAGGUAGCCAAAUGCCUCGUCAUCUAAUUAGUGACGCGCAUGAAUGGAUCAACGAGAUUCCCACUGUCCCUACCUACCAUCCAGCGAACUCACAGUCAAGGGAACGGGCUUGACUGAGACGGCGGGGAAAGAAGACCCUGUUGAGCUUGACUCUAGUUUGACUUUGUGAGAAGACAUGAGGGGUGUAGAAUAAGUGGGAGAAGGAUCAAACAAUCUUGGGUGUUAUCUUAACAAUAACAUUCAAAUUGCCUUCGACAGUGAAAUACCACUACCUUCAUCGUUUUCACACUUAAUUGGUUACAAGGGAAAUGUAUGAUGCAAGUCAUAUUUAAUUUGUUGUGACAAAGUGGGUUCGUCCCGCUAACCCGUAUUGUAGUGAUAGGGGACCGUUAGUGGCCGUGUGGUUUGCUUUCGGGUAACUCAUGUAGUUGUUAAUGUGUUUUUUAUUUGCUACCCAUCCAAUGACACAGUCAGAUGGGGAGCUUGGCUGGGGCGGCACAUCCUUUAAAAUGCAACGAGGAUGUCCCAAGGCGAGCUCAUUGAGGACAGAAACCUCAUGUAGAGCAAAAGGGCAAAAGCUCGCUUGAUUCCGAUUUUCAGUAUGAAUACGAACCGCGAAAGCGUGGCCUAUCGAUCCUCUGAACAUCCGGAGUUUGGAUUCAGAGGUGUCAGAAAAGUUACCACAGGGAUAACUGGCUUGUGGCGGCCAAGCGUUCAUAGCGACGUCGCUUUUUGAUCCUUCGAUGUCGGCUCUUCCUACCAUUGGAUCGCAGCAGGUCCAAAGUGUUGGAUUGUUCACCCACCAACAGGGAACGUGAGCUGGGUUUAGACCGUCGUGAGACAGGUUAGUUUUACCCUACCGUCUCUAAUAUAAUACGCUAUGACAGUAGACCUGUUCAGUACGAGAGGACCCGCAGGUCCGGAUAUACGGUGAAGCAUUUGGUCGAUAGGCCAGUGA
rnacentral:rRNA from 1 species